GGUGAAGAACGCAGCGAAAUGCGAUAAGUAAUGUGAAUUGCAGAAUUCAGUGAAUCAUCGAAUCUUUGAACGCACCUUGCGCCCUUUGGCCAUUCCGAAGGGCAUGCCUGUUUGAGUAUCAUGAACACCUCAACUCUUCAUGGUUUUCCGUGAUGAGCUUGGACUUUGGGGGUCUUGCUGGCCUAUGGUCAGCUCCUCUAAAAUAAAUCAGCUUGCCAGUGUUUGGUGGGUAUCACAGGUGUGAUAACUAUCUACGCUUGUGGUUUUCCACCAGGUAACCUUCAGCAGUGGAGGUUCGCUGGAGCUCACAGAUGUGUCUCUCCUCAGUGAGGACAGCUCUUUGAAUGUUUGAUCUCAAAUCAGGUAGGACUACCCGCUGAACUUAAGCAUAUCAAUAAGCGGAGGA
rnacentral:misc_RNA from 1 species